ensembl:lncRNA
GUUUUUUUGGGGAGUGUGAUUCUGUGUACAGUGUCCAUGUAUGUCUAUCCCUACGUUGGGUGAGUGCUGAGUAUUUGUAUAUGUGUGCAUGAGGGUGGGAAUGCAUGUUUGUGUCUGUGUGUGCCUGUUUGUCUGUGUUUAUAUGUCAGGUCGGGUCUUACACUCCACCUCUCUGGGAACUCCCAGGCCCUCCAAGGCCUAUCUCCCCUCACCACACUCCCUGCCGGUAACUGAUGCCCUCAGGGGUCGGUGCGUUGGUGGUUCCUUGUGUCCGGGGCUGGGCGCUCAGGUAUGUACCAGCUCACUCCCGGUGACUACUUGGCGGGGCCUGGUGCCUGUUGCUCGGUCAGGCCUCUUCCAGGGCAAAGGGGGCCCUCGGGCCUCCGGCCUCUGGGCCUGCGGCUCGGUUCACUCUGGCACAGCUGGCUACUGGCAGAGCCGGCGGGCACGCCACUGCAGCCCCCUCUGGCUUCUGUUCCGUGGCUACUGGGUGACCCCUCAUCUGGGGCUCUCCUCAGCUCUUCCCAGGAGGGUGGCACGGAUGCCCCUCCGGUGGUCCUCCUUGGGCUCUCGCACUCUGGGGCCUCUGGAUGUCUGGAGGCUGGAUCUCCUCCAUGCCUGCUUCAUGCCCUGGGGACGGGGCUAUGGCUCUCUACAUCCUCAAGCAGACCAUUGCAUGGGGAAACCUUUUGAAUACAAGCGCGCUGAUCCACACAGGUGUGCACACGGGUGUUCACUGUUCAUAGACAUAAACUACACCUUUAUUGGCUGCUAUUUCCAAUCACAUUAUGCGCUGUCGGUCCUGCUUGCUACACAACAACAUUCAAUAUUUAGUAUUUACUGCUGUUUACACUUAGCUAGAUUAACGUGAUGGUGUUGUGUUUAGUAUGUUGCUCUGUUUUUUUUGCUUGUUUUCUUUUCUUUUUCUCUCAACAGGUGAUCCAGGAGUUUUUUUUUCUCUUUCUCUUUUUAAGUGCCCUUUCUCACUGUCCCUCUUCCCUUCAUCUUUCUUUCUCCCUUUCCUAUCCCUCAGUCAUGUCUGUCCCGUCUGUAACAACUGAAAAUAAAAUAAAAUAAACAAUAACAACAAAGGUUGAUCAAAUGGACCAAUAUGGCAAGGCCGUGAUGAUCCAUUUGGCAAAGUAAAUCCAUUGGGUCUCCUUGUUGGUCUUCAGACAACAAUUCUGACGGCUAAAGAACCAAAUGGGACAGGCAAAAAAGCCCAUCUCACUCCCACCUUCAUACACACAUGCAUGUGUAAUUGUCAUUUUACGCCUUGCAAGUCAGUUCUGAUAUUCAAACAACACUUUCUUGUGCUUUUUAUAGAUGUGGUAAUAGAGAAAUUACAGGAAAUUAGGAAGCAAAAAGGGAAACAUUUAGGCUACGUCCACACAUACACGGGUAUUUUUGAAAACAGAGAUUUUUUUUUUUUUUUUUUAAAUUCCCAUCCACACGUAAACGCAAAAACGAAGGAAAAUGCUGCUAGGAACAUGCCAAAGCAACAGGUGGCGAUAUAUUCCUAACCGUGUAGAAAUGUUGGCCAAUCAGAAGUCUAGAAGCCUGGGUGGGAAAGAGUAAACAAAGAUGGCGCAUAGAAGCAGAACUGAGUCCUAUGUGUGGAGGGACAGAAACUGUGUGUCUAUAUGUAAGCAUGUAAACACAGCAGAGAGUAAAAUGAACAGUAACAGAAUUCUGUCUAAGUCCGCCAUUGUAGAAAUCCAUUUCACCGAAACAAUAACGUCCACACGUAAAUGCAAAAACGGAGUUUGCGAAAAUCUCCACCCUGGCAGGGGUUCUUAAAAAUCUGUUUUUAGUGACCGAAAACGACUUUUACGUGUGAACAAAAGGUGCAAACGCAUAGAAAAAUAUGCGUUUUCAAAAAUACCCAGGUACGUGUGGACGUAGCCUUAAAGUUUUGAUUUCAGCCAAGGGCAGGCCAGCACUGACAUUAUGAGAAUUUUAACUCCUCAAUACAUGAUUUACCAAAUAAAAAAUAAGCCAUUUUACAGGACAUAAACAGGAAGCAAUCUGUGAGUAUUUUUGUAACAGAAAUGGGAUCACGAGCAGCUGCACACUAGUGAGAGAGGUUGAUCUAACCUUGUGUCCCGUAAUAAGACAAAAACAAGAAAGCAACCACGCUUUCAGACUAAAUCCUCCCAGCAUUUUUUGAACAAUACGGGAGCAGACGAAAAACUGUGAAUGCAUGCUCAGAGAAUUGGAUUGCAUUCCCAAAAUCCCUUUGAGCCUCUUCGCUUGCCCAUACACACAGUUUUAAAAGAAAACAGAAUAAAGCCCAGGGCAUUACAGAGAAAUACUUCUGUAUUGACAGCAAGUGGAGAUAAAAGAGGCAAGCGAGAGGAAAAAAAACAAAAAGUAAAAAAAACAAGGUAUUCUGCCUGUCAUUUCGCUUAACUGUUCAACUCAGAAGCCACUGAUCUCAGGGACACAUGGUGCUCUGGCCAAAGUGUCAAUACUGAGUAUGCUUAUAGUUCAUAGACACUGUGGUUCAGAAGUAGCAAGAGUCGCUUUAGCUGACAUUGAGCAACAGAUGUGUAUGGGAGUUUUAAAGACUCCAAUGCACCUUUUGUUUUUCAAUGAAAUUCACAGAAGACAACCUUUGCUGAAAUACUGAUGUGGAGAAAUUUAAGCAUUAGCAAGUG